CAAGAGCGUAUUGUAAAGUUGCUGCUGUUAAAAAGCUCGUAGUUGGGUUUCAGUCUAGGAAGGUUAACUCGCCGAAAGGUUGUACGUUGAGUUUCCUCAGACUUCGUCAGAAGCUCGUGCUGCACUUAACUGUGAGGUACGAUGUUCUGACCUUUUACCUUGAGGAAAGUGAAGUGCUUCAGGCAGGCUAUCCAGCUUGGAUACAUUUGCAUGGAAUAAGGAAAUGGAUCUCGGUUCGAUUUCGUUGGUUCUAGAGCUGAGGUGAUGAUCAAUAGGACAGGCGACGGUAUUCGCACGUGAGAGUGAGGAGUGAGAUCCGAUGAUCUCUUAAAGGCGAUCGGAGGCGAAAGCAUUUGUCAAGGAUGUUCUCAGUGA
rnacentral:rRNA from 1 species